AUUGAACGCUGGCGGCAUGCUUUACACAUGCAAGUCGAACGGUAACAGGCCGCAAGGUGCUGACGAGUGGCGAACGGGUGAGUAAUGCAUCGGAACGUGCCCAGUCGUGGGGGAUAACGCAGCGAAAGCUGUGCUAAUACCGCAUACGAUCUAUGGAUGAAAGCGGGGGACCGUAAGGCCUCGCGCGAUUGGAGCGGCCGAUGUCAGAUUAGGUAGUUGGUAGGGUAAAGGCCCACCAAGCCAACGAUCUGUAGCUGGUCUGAGAGGACGACCAGCCACACUGGGACUGAGACACGGCCCAGACUCCUACGGGAGGAAGCAGUGGGGAAGUUUGGACAAUGGGCGCGAGCCUGAUCCAGCAAUGCCGCGUGCAGGAAGAAGGCCUUCGGGUUGUAAACUGCUUUUGUACGGAACGAAAAGGUCUGGGUUAAUACCCUGGGCCGAUGACGGUACCGUAAGAAUAAGCACCGGCUAACUACGUGCCAGCAGCCGCCGUAAUAC
rnacentral:rRNA from 1 species